ACGAAACAUAAACUAAACAACAAAAAACACAAUGCAUUUUUAAGCUCUCUCUGCGUUCACAGCCUCUGCAAAUGUCAAACUUCCUCACUUUAGCUGAUGCUAACCAACAUUAGCGCUUACGGUUCGUAUUUAAGCUCAACUGUCAGCCCUUCACUUUUGGUGCCGACAACAUUUUGAGCAUUUUCUACAGUUUGUGAAAUGGUCGUCAUUGGCAUUACAUGCCAGUAGUGUUCGCUAACUGACUUUACCGGGGAUUAUAUUUAUUACAACGUUACUGCGUGGAAGUGGUCAUAGUGUAUGCUUAUAAAAGUGAGUGGUAGGUGUUAUUAGUGCGACUUUUCCUUUAAUUAGUUUUCCCACCGGAAGUAGAGUUGUUUAUGCGACGUGUCCUGGCCCGCAUCCUUAACGCUACAUUGAUGUAGAGAGUCUCUGACACGGCUGUGCUCUGCAGCCCAGACACCCUGCUUAUCUGUGAUUCGGCCAGACUGGUGUUGAACUCCUCCAAAGGCAUGCGCGGGGUUAGGACAGUGAAGUGUCUGACACUGACUAUGUACCAGUGCCUGAGAACACUGGUAUGGAGGGGGGAGAACGCACCUCUUUACUGCAUUUGUCGGAAACCAGACAUCAACUGCUUCAUGAUCCUUUGCCAUGAUAAAUUGGUCAGUUUACAACCAGGAGCCGUACACCUUAACCUCAGAGGCCAGGACAUCCAGGGGCAGUGUGAACACACACUUCUUUAAAUGGGAUGCAAGACGGACUAUAGAGGGCCACCCCCUCGCCAGACAACCAAGUGCUGUCCCUGUCCACGGCCAGUGUGAGAAGGACUCUCACUAAAGUCAACCCACACAAAGCUGCUGGACCAGACAAUAUACCCGGACGUGUGCUCGGAGCUUGUGCUGACCAGCUGACUGAUGUCCUAGCGGGCAUCUUUAACAUCUCCCUGAGUCAAGCUGUUGUGCCAAGUGCUUUAAAACCACCACCAUCUUACCUGUACCAAAGACAGCUACAGCCUCGCAGUUCGAAGACAAUGGACGAUGCGAUCUCAUUGGCACUCCACCUAGCCCUAUCACAACUGGAUCAAUGCAACGUCCACCUAAGAAUGCUGUUCACUGAUUUCAUCUUAGCAUUCAACACCAUCAUUGCCCAGCAGCUGAUCGGCAAGCUGGACCGGCUCAGACUUAACACCUCCACCUGCAACAGGAUCCUGGUCUUUCUUACUGAUGGACCCCAGACAGUACAGGUUGGAAAUAUAAGAUCCAACACCAUCACACUGAGC
ensembl:lncRNA